ensembl:miRNA Mir6400 microRNA 6400
CAAUGCGGCUGUGUCUUGCAGGAAGCUUACGUCUCCUUAGUGAGCAUGUGCUCACCUUGGGAGAUUCUUGCUGCUUGGUGCUCGCUGUGUUU